GACCUCGUAGUUCAGCUGGUAGAGCGUGCGCGUACAAAGAGUAGGCGGCGUCCACGUGUGGGUUUGAAUCCCACCGAGGCUA
rfam:Echinostoma caproni strain Egypt genome assembly, scaffold: ECPE_scaffold0001025